rnacentral:rRNA from 1 species
UAACCUGCCCAAGAGAUCGGGAUAACACCUGGAAACAGAUGCUAAUACCGGAUAAUAACAGAUGAUGCCUAUCAACUGGUUAAAAGAUGGUUCUGCUAUCACUCUUGGAUGGACCUGCGGUGCAUUAGCUAGUUGGUAGGGUAACGGCCUACCAAGGCGAUGAUGCAUAGCCGAGUUGAGAGACUGAUCGGCCACAUUGGGACUGAGACACGGCCCAAACUCCUACGGGAGGCAGCAGUG